CUAUAUGGCUUACAGGAAAGAAGAGAAUAAUCCAGAGUCAGCUAAAAAAGGACCCCUGAAUAAGUUUCCUUCCAGGAUGGCUGGCUGGUCAGAGACCUGCACUGAAGUGAAGAUCCUGAAGCAUCUCUGGUGGCUGAAUGCCUACAGGCUCUGGAAGCAAACUCUGGAGUAAGGAAACCCUUACUGCAAUCAUCUGCCCAAACUAUGCCAGAAGGAGCCAGUGCUUGAGGACAACUGCUGGAGUCCAGCUGGCAUCACAGGAUGGGAGCUCCUUGUGAGGAACAGGACCAGGUUGGGAAUGGGCCCUGCUCCGUGGCUGCAGAUCCCUCCAGGAAUUCCUGCCAAAUGCACUUUGGAGAGCUCUGCUAAAUUUGCACGUAUUUGGCUCCCAUUCAAGAUAUUUAUAUGCAAAGCUACUGGAGAUACAGUGGCCUGUCACAAUAUGGAACAGCUGUCUAUGGCCUUCACUCUGUCAGACACCACCCCUUUACAGUGAUCCCUGUCCAAUGCAUGGAGAACCUUUGGGAGGAGUUUCUCUGCUACAGGAAAACGUUUGUCACCUUUCAUUGGCAAAUAUCAAGCUUUGGGAUUCCUUGCUGGACUCUGCCCCAGGCACUGGCCAUGGGCCCACUGGCUUCAAACCAAUUCUCUGCAUAGAAGGGUUUGCUCCUGGCUCCUCCACAGGGAAGAACUCAGUUUAGAUUGCCUUAAAACUUGGAUUCACAGACACUACUAGUACCUCUGGGCACUUUUUCCUUUGUGGCCAUUUUUCAUUUUGAUACCGAUUGUGAAAUCUGAAUUUCCAGGAAAGCUGUUCAUCUUAAGUCAGGAAUUAACAAUAGUGUGUAAGCACUUUUCAGAAAACAGGCUUUGAUUUUUUUUGUGUUUGUGUUUUGUUAUAUUAACAUAAAACAAUGUAUUAAGCUUCAAAGGAAUUAGCAAUAAUCACAUGAUCUUUUCUCUUUGUAAGAGUUUUUAUUUAGAGUGGUGAAUCUUGAGGAGAAGAAAACUUUGAAGUAGUGGCUGAAAAUAUAUUUAAAAUUAAGGGGGCAGUUAUAAAAACUCAGCUUAUUUUAAAAAGAAUCUUGUAUGUAUGCCAUUUGCCUCAACUGAAGCUUGAACUCCAUGUGGAUGAAUUUGAAUUAUCCAUUUAGGAAGUAUGGUUUAAAAGAUAUUAAAGAGCUGCAGCUGUAGGGUGAUUGAUAGAUAAUUGUAAUCAUAAACAGAGGUCUAUCACUGCUGCACGUGCAGUCAAACUCACUUUGGAAUGGAUUUCAUCUAGUUCAAAAUGAAUUCUGUAUUUUCUUGGCACAUAGCUGUUCAGAGUCAGAUCAUUUUCAAAAGCUAAAACUUUGGUUUAGAACCUUGACUUCAAUGCAAGAAGUGCAAGAUACACCACUGGAAUAGUUUCAAAGGCAGUAAUCUUUGUAUGUUGCCAAGAGUGGAACAGGAUUUCAUGCCAGUAUUGAUGGGAUAUUGGUAAGUUUGUUUCAAUGUCUUUUGCUGUAAGAACACGUCCUCUUUCAAAAUUAUAUAGAAAGUGUAAGGAUCACAGUUUAGUCUGAGAAAGUUAGAAUGCUGGGUUUCAUUUUGUUGUUUAAUUGCUUUUUGGGCACCUAUACUGCAUUGGAAAAUGCUACUGUAGCUAUAAUUUGUGCUCCUUUACUGCUGGCCAUGAGUUACAAUAAAAUGUUUUAAG